UACAGAGGUCUCAAGCGUUGUUCGGAUUCAUUGGGCGUAAAGGGUGUGUAGGUGGCGCGCUAAGUCGGGUGUGAAAUCUCGGAGCUUAACUUCGAAACUGCAUUCGAUACUGGCGUGCUUGAGGACUGGAGAGGAGACUGGAAUUCAUGGUGUAGCAGUGAAAUGCGUAGAGAUCGGGAGGAACACCAGUGGCGAAGGCGGCUACCUGGACCAGCACUGACACUGAAGCACGAAAGCGUGGGGAGCAAACAGG
rnacentral:rRNA from 1 species